GUGCCAGCAGCCGCGGUAAUACGGAGGAUGCAAGCGUUAUCCGGAAUGAUUGGGCGUAAAGCGUCCGCAGGUGGUUAUACAAGUCUGCUGUCAAAGCGCAAGGCUCAACCUUGUAAAGGCAGUGGAAACUGUGUGACUAGAGAGUGAUAGGGGCAGAGGGAAUUCCCAGUGUAGCGGUGAAAUGCGUAGAGAUUGGGAAGAACACCGGUGGCGAAAGCGCUCUGCUGGGUCAUAUCUGACACUGAGGGACGAAAGCUAGGGGAGCGAAAGGGAUUAGAAACCCCGGUAGUCC
rnacentral:rRNA from 1 species